CACAUUGCAAGUUGAGCGGAAACGGCAGUAUUGAAGCUUCGGUGGAUUUACUGGACGUCGAGCGGCGGACCGGGUGAGUAACGGCUGGGAACCUGCCCUGACGAGGGGGAUAUCCGUUGGAAACGACGGCUAAUACCGCAUAAUGUCUUGAUUCGUUAGAGUCAGGACCAAAGGUGGCCUCUACAUGUAAGCUAUCGCGUUGGGAUGGGCCCAGUUAGGAUUAGCUAGUUGGUAAGGUAAUGGCUUACCAAGGCAACGAUCCUUAGCUGGUUUGAGAGGAUGAUGGGCCACACUGGGACUGAGACACGGCCCAGACUCCUACGGGAGGCAGCAGUGGGGAAUAUUGCACAAUGGGGGAGACCCUGAUGCAGCCAUGCCGCGUGUGUGAAGAAGGCCUUCGGGUUGUAAAGCACUUUCAGCCUUGAGGAAGGAAGUGUACUUAAUACGUGCACGGCUGACGGUAGCUGCAGAAGAACCACCGCUAA
rnacentral:rRNA from 1 species